rnacentral:rRNA from 1 species
UUAAGUUAUUAAGGGCGCACGGUGGAUGCCUUGGCACUAGAAGCCGAUGAAGGACGUUACUAACGACGAUAUGCUUUGGGGAGCUGUAAGUAAGCUUUGAUCCAGAGAUUUCCGAAUGGGGAAACCCAGCAUGAGUUAUGUCAUGUUAUCGAUAUGUGAAUACAUAGCAUAUCAGAAGGCACACCCGGAGAACUGAAACAUCUUAGUACCCGGAGGAAGAGAAAGAAAAUUCGAUUCCCUUAGUAGCGGCGAGCGAAACGGGAAGAGCCCAAACCAACAAGCUUGCUUGUUGGGGUUGUAGGACACUCUAUACGGAGUUACAAAGGACGACAUUAGACGAAUCAUCUGGAAAGAUGAAUCAAAGAAGGUAAUAAUCCUGUAGUCGAAAAUGUUGUCUCUCUUGAGUGGAUCCUGAGUACGACGGAGCACGUGAAAUUCCGUCGGAAUCUGGGAGGACCAUCUCCUAAGGCUAAAUACUCUCUAGUGACCGAUAGUGAACCAGUACCGUGAGGGAAAGGUGAAAAGCACCCCGGAAGGGGAGUGAAAUAGAACCUGAAACCGUGUGCUUACAAGUAGUCAGAGCCCGUUAAUGGGUGAUGGCGUGCCUUUUGUAGAAUGAACCGGCGAGUUACGAUUUGAUGCAAGGUUAAGCAGUAAAUGUGGAGCCGUAGCGAAAGCGAGUCUGAAUAGGGCGUUUAGUAUUUGGUCGUAGACCCGAAACCAGGUGAUCUACCCUUGGUCAGGUUGAAGUUCAGGUAACACUGAAUGGAGGACCGAACCGACUUACGUUGAAAAGUGAGCGGAUGAACUGAGGGUAGCGGAGAAAUUCCAAUCGAACCUGGAGAUAGCUGGUUCUCUCCGAAAUAGCUUUAGGGCUAGCCUCAAGUGAUGAUUAUUGGAGGUAGAGCACUGUUUGGACGAGGGGCCCCUCUCGGGUUACCGAAUUCAGACAAACUCCGAAUGCCAAUUAAUUUAACUUGGGAGUCAGAACAUGGGUGAUAAGGUCCGUGUUCGAAAGGGAAACAGCCCAGACCACCAGCUAAGGUCCCAAAAUAUAUGUUAAGUGGAAAAGGAUGUGGCGUUGCCCAGACAACUAGGAUGUUGGCUUAGAAGCAGCCAUCAUUUAAAGAGUGCGUAAUAGCUCACUAGUCGAGUGACACUGCGCCGAAAAUGUACCGGGGCUAAACAUAUUACCGAAGCUGUGGAUUGUCCUUUGGACAAUGGUAGGAGAGCGUUCUAAGGGCGUUGAAGCAUGAUCGUAAGGACAUGUGGAGCGCUUAGAAGUGAGAAUGCCGGUGUGAGUAGCGAAAGACGGGUGAGAAUCCCGUCCACCGAUUGACUAAGGUUUCCAGAGGAAGGCUCGUCCGCUCUGGGUUAGUCGGGUCCUAAGCUGAGGCCGACAGGCAUAGGCGAUGGAUAACAGGUUGAUAUUCCUGUACCACCUAUAAUCGUUUUAAUCGAUGGGGGGACGCAGUAGGAUAGGCGAAGCGUGCGAUUGGAUUGCACGUCUAAGCAGUAAGGCUGAGUAUUAGGCAAAUCCGGUACUCGUUAAGGCUGAGCUGUGAUGGGGAGAAGACAUUGUGUCUUCGAGUCGUUGAUUUCACACUGCCGAGAAAAGCCUCUAGAUAGAAAAUAGGUGCCCGUACCGCAAACCGACACAGGUAGUCAAGAUGAGAAUUCUAAGGUGAGCGAGCGAACUCUCGUUAAGGAACUCGGCAAAAUGACCCCGUAACUUCGGGAGAAGGGGUGCUCUUUAGGGUUAACGCCCAGAAGAGCCGCAGUGAAUAGGCCCAAGCGACUGUUUAUCAAAAACACAGGUCUCUGCUAAACCGUAAGGUGAUGUAUAGGGGCUGACGCCUGCCCGGUGCUGGAAGGUUAAGAGGAGUGGUUAGCUUCUGCGAAGCUACGAAUCGAAGCCCCAGUAAACGGCGGCCGUAACUAUAACGGUCCUAAGGUAGCGAAAUUCCUUGUCGGGUAAGUUCCGACCCGCACGAAAGGCGUAACGAUUUGGGCACUGUCUCAACGAGAGACUCGGUGAAAUCAUAGUACCUGUGAAGAUGCAGGUUACCCGCGACAGGACGGAAAGACCCCGUGGAGCUUUACUGUAGCCUGAUAUUGAAAUUCGGCACAGCUUGUACAGGAUAGGUAGGAGCCUUUGAAACGUGAGCGCUAGCUUACGUGGAGGCGCUGGUGGGAUACUACCCUAGCUGUGUUGGCUUUCUAACCCGCACCACUUAUCGUGGUGGGAGACAGUGUCAGGCGGGCAGUUUGACUGGGGCGGUCGCCUCCUAAAAGGUAACGGAGGCGCUCAAAGGUUCCCUCAGAAUGGUUGGAAAUCAUUCAUAGAGUGUAAAGGCAUAAGGGAGCUUGACUGCGAGACCUACAAGUCGAGCAGGGUCGAAAGACGGACUUAGUGAUCCGGUGGUUCCGCAUGGAAGGGCCAUCGCUCAACGGAUAAAAGCUACCCCGGGGAUAACAGGCUUAUCUCCCCCAAGAGUUCACAUCGACGGGGAGGUUUGGCACCUCGAUGUCGGCUCAUCGCAUCCUGGGGCUGUAGUCGGUCCCAAGGGUUGGGCUGUUCGCCCAUUAAAGCGGUACGCGAGCUGGGUUCAGAACGUCGUGAGACAGUUCGGUCCCUAUCCGUCGUGGGCGUAGGAAAUUUGAGAGGAGCUGUCCUUAGUACGAGAGGACCGGGAUGGACAUACCUCUGGUGUACCAGUUGUCGUGCCAACGGCAUAGCUGGGUAGCUAUGUGUGGACGGGAUAAGUGCUGAAAGCAUCUAAGCAUGAAGCCCCCCUCAAGAUGAGAUUUCCCAACUUCGGUUAUAAGAUCCCUCAAAGAUGAUGAGGUUAAUAGGUUCGAGGUGGAAGCAUGGUGACAUGUGGAGCUGACGAAUACUAAUCGAUCGAAGACUUAAUCAA